rnacentral:tRNA from 1 species
GUCCCUGUAGUGCAAUGGAUAGCGCGUUGGACUUCUAAUCCAAAGGUCGUGGGUUCGAAUUCCUCCUGGGAUG